GCCCCGUUAGCUCAACUGGAUAGAGCAUCGGACUUCGGAUCCGAGGGUUGGGGGUUCGACUCCCUCACGGGGUA
rnacentral:tRNA from 2 species